GCAAACUUGGUCAUUUAGAGGAAGUAAAAGUCGUAACAAGGUCUCCGUUGGUGAACCAGCGGAGGGAUCAUUACCGAGUUUACAACUCCCAAACCCACUGUGAACCUACCUAUUGUUGCUUCGGCGGGACCGCCCCGGCGCCUCAGGCCCGGAACCAGGCGCCCGCCGGAGGCCUAAACUCUUGUCUUUACAGUUUUCUCCUCUGAUUGAAAACAAAAUAAAUCAAAACUUUCAACAACGGAUCUCUUGGUUCUGGCAUCGAUGAAGAACGCAGC
rnacentral:misc_RNA from 1 species